rnacentral:lncRNA from 1 species
CUGUUCCAGGAGGCACCUCCUUUCUUCUUCCUUCCCAGGAGCUGUGGAGGCCAAGUAUGACUGCCAAGAAGAAUCCAGAAAAUCCAGAGUGCUUGAGUGUAGCGUCUUCCUGCAGUCUGCCACACACGCUUAAUGCCCAGAGGAAGUGAGCGGGGGGUCUGGGGCAAGCAGGGGGCCCAGGUCCAGUGUUUCUGAGUCCUUCAGGAGGGUGAGGAGAGCCCGCAGGCUGCUGUGCACCUCUGCAACUUGCUUGUCCCAGGGUCGCAGCAAGUGGGGUGCAGAACACCACAGACUGCUUUGAGCAGAGCCCACUUCCUUCAUCCCGGAGAGCGUGAAGCCGUUACACCAACAUCAAUCAAGGGGAACCCACGGGCUGCACUCACACCGUUGAAGCAGGCGCUGAGCUGCGCUGUUUUGUUUCUUUCUCUUUUUAAAAUUCUUCUUCUUUUUCUUCUUCUUUUUUUUUUUAAAAAUUCUGAAGCCAGACCGUCUUGCCUCGCAGCACCAGGUGCUGCUUCGCCGUGGGCACGCCGAGCUCCCCCGGUUACCUGCGGCAUCUCCUGCCUGGGCUUCGCCAUGGUGCACCGGACCUGGACUCGCGAGUCUGCACGCUGCGCAAGGAGGACCUGCUGCUGGAGCUCUGGCCAGCGUCUCCUCGCACCUGGAUGCGGGGACUUGGGGGCCAGGGCGAAGCUGCGCAAGACUCAGGGUGGGAUGGCUAGGGAGGACGCAGAGGACCAGGAGGGGGAAGUUAGGAAUCCUACAUAA